AUUGAACGCUGGCGGCAGGCCUAACACAUGCAAGUCGCACGAGUGGCGGACGGGUGAGUAAUGUCUGGGAAACUGCCCGAUGGAGGGGGAUAACUACUGGAAACGGUAGCUAAUACCGCAUACCAUCGGAUGUGCCCAGAUGGGAUUAGCUAGUAGGUGGGGUAACGGCUCACCUAGGCGACGAUCCCUAGCUGGGCUGAGAGGAUGACCCGCCCCGCUGGAACUGAGACACGGGCCAUAGUCCUACGGGAGGCAGCAGUGGGGAAUAUUGCACAAUUGGCGCAAGCCUGAUGCAGCCAUGCCGCGUGUAUGAAGAAGGCCUUCGGGUUGGAAAGUACUUUCAGCGAGGAGGCGUUACUCGCAGAAGAAGCACCGGCUAACUCCGUGCCAGCAGCCGCGGUAAUUC
rnacentral:rRNA from 1 species